GGAUGCGAUCAUACCAGCACUAAAGCACCGGAUCCCAUCAGAACUCCGAAGUUAAGCGUGCCUGGGCGAGAGUAGUACUAGGAUGGGUGACCUCCUGGGAAGUCCUCGUGUUGCAUUCC
rnacentral:rRNA from 1 species